AGAGUUUGAUUCUGGCUCAGAACGAACGCUGGCAGCGUGGAUUAGGCAUGCAAGUCGAACGUGAAGCCGAUGAUCAAUCUUUCGGGAAAGUGAUUCGGUGGAAAGUGGCGGAAGGGUGAGUAACGCGUGGGUAAGCUACCUCGAAGUUGGGGACAACCAGAUGAAAAUCUAGCUAAUACCGAAUGUGGUCCUCUGGCACAUGCCGGGGUGACUAAAGGUGGGGAUCCUUUAUUGGACCUGCCGCUUUGAGAUGCGCCCGCGUGCCAUCAGCUUGUUGGUAGGGUAACGCCUACCAAGGCUUACGGCUAGCCGGCCUGAGAGGGUGACCGGCCACACUGGGACUGAGACACUGCCCAGACUCCUACGGGAGGCUGCAGUCGAGGAUCAUUCGCAAUGCGCGAAAGCGUGACGAUGCGACGCUGCGUGGGGGAUGAAGGCCUUCGGGUCGUAAACUCCUGUCAUGAGGGAAAAGUAUCCCUGCAAUGAAUAGUUGCGGGGCUCGAUGGUACCUCAAGAGGAAGCCACGGCUAACUCUGUGCCAGCAGCCGCGGUAAUACAGAGGUGGCGAGCGUUGUUCGGAUUUACUGGGCGUAAAGGGUGCGUAGGUGGUUUUGUGUGUCGGAUGUGAAAGCCCAUGGCUCAACCGUGGAAUUGCAUUCGAAACUGCAGAACUAGAGUGCAGGAUGGGAGAGCGGAAUUCUUGGUGUAGCGGUGAAAUGCGUUGAUAUCAAGAAGAACACCGGUGGCGAAGGCGGCUCUCUGGAAUGCUACUGACACUGAGGCACGAAAGCUGGGGGAGCAAACAGGAUUAGAUACCCUGGUAGUCCCAGCCGUAAACGGUGCACACUUGGUGUGGGGAGAUUUAACCCUCUCCGUGCCGGAGCUAACGCGUUAAGUGUGCCGCCUGGGGAGUACGGCCGCAAGGCUAAAACUCAAAGAAAUUGACGGGGGCCCGCACAAGCGGAGGAGCAUGUGGCUUAAUUCGAUGCAACGCGAAGAACCUUACCAGGGCUUGACAUAUACCUGCAAACCCCGUGAAAGCGGGGAAUCCUUCGAGGGUGGUAUACAGGUGCUGCAUGGCUGUCGUCAGUUCGUGCCGUGAGGUGUUGGGUUAAGUCCCGUAACGAACGCAACCCUUGUGACUAGUUGCCACCGGCGGUGAUGAGCCGCCGAGCACUCUAGUCAGACUGCCCGUACAAGCGGGAGGAAGGUGGGGAUGACGUCAAGUCAGUAUGGCCCUUACGCCCUGGGCUGCACACGUGCUACAAUGGUCGGUACAAUGGGAUGCAAUAUCGUGAGGUGGAGCAAAUCCUGAAAGCCGGCCUCAGUUCGGAUUGAAGUCUGCAACUCGACUUCAUGAAG
rnacentral:rRNA from 1 species